rnacentral:rRNA from 1 species
AGUGAACGCUGGCGGUAGGCCUAACACAUGCAAGUCGAACGGCAGCACAGUAAGAGCUUGCUCUUACGGGUGGCGAGUGGCGGACGGGUGAGGAAUACAUCGGAAUCUACUUUUUCGUGGGGGAUAACGUAGGGAAACUUACGCUAAUACCGCAUACGACCUACGGGUGAAAGCAGGGGAUCUUCGGACCUUGCGCGAUUGAAUGAGCCGAUGUCGGAUUAGCUAGUUGGCGGGGUAAAGGCCCACCAAGGCGACGAUCCGUAGCUGGUCUGAGAGGAUGAUCAGCCACACUGGAACUGAGAGACGGUACAGACUCCUACGGGAGGCACCAGUGGGGAAUAUUGGACAAGGGGCGCAAGCCUGAUCCAGCCAUACCGCGUGGGUGAAGAAGGCCUCCGGGUUGUAAAGCCCUUUUGUGGGGGAAGAAAAGCAGCAGGUUAAUACCCCGCUGUUCUGACGGUACCCAAAGAAUAAGCACCGGCUAACUUCGUG